rnacentral:lncRNA from 1 species
AGAGAGAGAGAGAGAGAGAGAGAGAGAGAGAGAGAGAGGCUAGAAGCGUACCUUCCGCACUGUCUCUUUCAUGCAAGUUCUGUGUUCAUCCAUUGAGGCAUGAAUAAAUUCAUGAAUGUGAUCCCUCAAAUUCGACACAAAGCUGCCACUCCCAAAAUUCUUCUUUCUACAAGAACCCAUAGUCGCCUUUGAUUUACUUUGUAAUACUAAAACGUCGUCGUCGUUCCUGAGGAGCUGAGCAGGAAAACAAAAUGGAGGUAAAAGAAACUGACGGGAAGGAGGUAAAGGCGCCGAUGCGGCCAUGUGAUAUUAACUCUUUCCAAAAUGCAAAACGACGCCGUCAUAUGUAGGGUAUAUUCUGGAGAAAAAUGCGAUUUGAACUGGGCCGAGUUGAACCAUUAGGCCCAAAACGGAAAGCGUACGUAUACUUUCAGUCACAGCCAGCCAGUGCCUUGCAGUUCUCUCUGAUAAUUUGAUAAAGCAGAAAGUGAAUGCAGAGACAAAGAUGUCAUUUCAGGUUCGUCAUUACAAAUUAACCUUAAGCCAUAAAUUUUCGGUGUUUAAAAGAAGCGAAUUUGCAGAAAUUUCUAAUCUUUUCUGCGACAGAUAAUAUUGGGUUCGGCUUCAAUGGCACGACGGAAAAUACUAGCGGAGAUGGGAUAUGAAUUCACAAUCCUGGUACAUUGUGUUUAUAUAAAAGAAGCAAUCUUUUUUUUGCCUUGCUUAAUGGGUAGCCAUUGAAAUUUUUGAUCUGGUUUAUGGGUCUAGACUGCAGACAUAGACGAAAAAAGUAUACGGAUGGAUAAGCCUGAGGAAUUGGUGAUGGUUCUAGCUGAGGCCAAAGUACGUCUUCUUUGUCCACUUUUGCUUUUUCUUUGCUUUCUUUCAAUUUGGUGGUGGUUUUGUAAUUUCUUUAGUUUUACUUUGCAGGUCAAAUAAGUGGGUUCAAUUUUGUUUUACAAGAAUUGCAAUGUAGAACUGUAGAUUCUAACUUAUAUGCUUUACUUUUCAGUUUGCAUGACUUUUGAAUUAUAUUUAUGAGAAUAUAACUUUCAUUCAAGUGUGUCUUGCCUCCCUUUUUAUUUUUGUUAGGCAGAUGCCAUAAUUUCAAGGCUUCAAAGUACAAGUCAGCCGGAUGAAGAUGCUCAUGCAACACUGUUGAUUACUGCGGACACAGUAUGCGUUUAUAUGUAAUAUAUUUACAUUUUUCAACUUCUGGCAAUUUGAAAUGUAUCUGAUUUUGACAUAGAUUAGUUUCUCAUUCGCUAAGAAUCGAAACAGAACAUGUCUCUGUUCUAAAAUUCUGUAAUUGAAAUACCCUUUACUGUGGUCUGGUAAUUCCAUUUGCUCUUUAAGUGUGGCCCACUUAUCCAGAAAACAUGUUACAGGUGAAAAAGCAUCAGAGGCUGUUUUUUCUUUUAGUGAAUUUUAGUGAGUGUCUCUUGUGUUGUUGGCAUGUACUGUGCAGUUAAAGGUUAAUUCUCACUACUACUGCGUCUUAUUGAUUUUGAGGUGGUGGUGUAUGAAGGGAUAAUAAGGGAAAAACCAUCCAGCAAGGAAGAAGCAUGGAAUUUUAUCAAAGGUUUGCUUAAAUGGAAACUGUCCACCUUUUCCCUUUGUUAAAAUUAGCUGGAUGCAGUGGUCAAGUCUUUGUGGGUUGCAGGCUAUUCUGGCGGCCAAGCAGCAGUUAUAGGAUCUGUAUUUGUGACCAACCUUAAAACAGGAAAAAGAAAAGGAGGAUGUUGCAGAGCGGAGGUACUUAUUCUUUUACAGCUUAAGCUCAUUCUUUAGCUGUCCUGUCCUAAAGAGCAACAAUCACAUGUCAGAAAUAACCUUCUUUUCUCCCUUUUUUGGUUCAAGUUUGUGAUUAACAAAGAUUAUGGAUAGUUAUAUCCUUCAUGGUUAGUUUGGUAAUUAUAAUAUCUAUUUGAUGAUGUUGUGGUACAGGUUUAUUUUCAUGUCAUACCAGAGGAGAUUAUUGAUAGCCUGGUAAAUAUUGGAUAUAUAAUCACUUUAGGUACUUCAUUGUGAGCUAUUUUUCUUUGUUGAAUUUUGUGUACGAGUCUGAUGUUGGCCCAGAUAGAGGAGGGAAUUACACUCGAUGUCGCGGGGGGUUUGAUGCUGGAACAUCCGCUGAUAUCUCCUUUUGUAGAAGCAGUGGUUAGCUCUCUCUUCUCUCUAUCUCAUGUCUAUGCUGCAGAGAUACAACUAAGAGAGCCUUUCACAUGGUCCUUUCAUUUUUUUAGCCACAUUCCUUGUGCUUCACUAAUAAUGUGUUCUUAAAUUUUCUUGCAUCUUCCAAAUGAUUCAGCAACCAAAAAACUUGAAUUUUAGCCUCAGUAUAUCUUUGCAUCUUGCAUGCAUAUAUAUUAAUAAUCAUAAUAGUUUGCCCCUCAAUUAUUGAUCUUGAUCUGCCUUCUCAAACAUUUCUUUGUAAUGUGCUUUGUUCGGUUUGUGGCAGGUAGGGACGACUGACACAGUGAUGGGGCUACCUAAAGAAUUCACAGAAAAACUCAUUCAUGAAGCACUCCAACUGCCGUAGUUACUAGCGACCAGGCUCUUGUUGCUAACAUGGCAGCUGCAGAUGAAUCUACAAUUUCCCGUCAGUUUCAGAAUUGUGGGAUUGAACCCCAUCAUUAAUGACUUCAACUAAGGUUGCGUAAUUGUUUUUACCACAUCAAUAUUAAACAUUUUGAUAUUGAUUAUGGCGAUGAUAGCACAUAUAUUAAAUAUCAUAGUUCUCUUAAUUUUGAAGAUACGAUAUUAAAUUAUGUUCCUUUGUAUUCUCAUGUAAUACCUUAAUCAUGUGAUAUGAAAUUCCUACCAUAUCCAGGUAAAAGAAAGCCUUACUGAGAUAAUUGUUCUCUUUUCGACAAUAUAGAGCAUAUCAUACCAUAAGCUAUUUUCAAGUAACAUGAUGAAACAGUUCGAAAGAAUUUCUCAUCAACAAAAAUGCUGCUCUCAAGCCGCUCACUGUAACAUAAUACAAUUUCAGAUAGUAAAAUUCUCAUGGCCGGAAAUACGACUAUACAAAUAGUGUCCUUUUUCUUUUUUGCUUCUUUCUGUUAUGGGCAUUUGCAAUUACCAGUAAACCUAAUGAUACACUUGUUACAAAAAAGACCCUCUAAACUCGCUCAAUCUGCGGCCGCACAUCAAGCUUAUGAUUGCGACAAGGAUCUAAAUGGGUGCCCUCGGCGUUAAAUUAAUGGAGCUGAGGGUUGCUUAUCGUGUCAAAAAGCAGCUGCAGCUGAGAAGUAAAAUUCUUGUCACCCAUUAAGUUUUGAGCAAUUGACGAUAUAAUAGAUUUAACCAAUGAGCCUUGGGGCUUUGAGAAGAUAAAUGCCCCUCACAAACCCUUUUCCAACUUUACCGACAUCUUUUAAUAUAUCAGUUGGAUCUUUUACUUCCUCUGCUUCUUCUUCCCGCCCCCGUUUCUGCAGAUAUUAGGAUCAGAGAAUACAGCUGAUUAAGAUGUGUAGAAGAAUAAUUUUUUAAAAUUUUCAUUGAGAAUUUGGGAUACACAUUUAUUCUGUUGGAACACAUCCAAUUAUACCUUUGAACUAUAUCUCCCCCACGUUAUGCCAACAGCAUCACCACCCAGAGAAUCAUACCAUAGCUUGAAGGUGUUGGAGUACUCUUUCUACAUUCAAGAAAAGAAGAUGUAAGCAAAGAAAGCAUUGGCCCAGAAUGAAAUAGAACGCAAUGGCUACAUGGUCAAAAUUAAGGCAUUGCAUAAUACUUGCCUCUACAUCCCCAACAAAGCACCUCAUUGGAUCAAAGUUUACCAAUAGCUUAUUCCUUAGGUCCUCUGAGUUUCCAUUCAGGUCACCAGGCAAAAGAAAGGGGUGAAAAACCUUGCUCGCAUUCCCACGUGCCACAUGCACCCCUGAACAAGAUAUGCUCAUAAUGAAAAUUUAGCACAUACCAAUAUUUGAGUGUUGCAUUGCCAUAAAAGGAGAGAGAAUAGCAAUAAAACCGUGGCCAUGCAAACAUUCAGGUAAGAUAAAGAACCUUGAUUUAAUUCGGACGAGAAGAGAAGACGUUGGGGGUAAGGUAAUUUAUCUCCAUGGAGAAGAAUCACAGCAUCAUAAUUGUUCAAAGGAGUUUUAAAAAGGCACUGCAAACCAAGAAUUAAACUUUAAAAGUUCGCAACUUCGCAUAUAUCAAAACAUGCAUUAAGGAAAAACCAUUAGCGGAUAACAAUUAGUAAAUUUGUCAGGCUCACCUCCCAUCUAUAAGAAUCAUUAUGAUCCUCCGAUAUCAGUUUGGUCAACAAGUUUGCACUGCUACCAGCAUAGGCCAUCAACCUUUUUAACUCCUUGCAUAUUCAACAAGAUAAACUUCUAGAUAAGCAUAGUAAAGAACGUAUCUAUAAUUCCUAGCAAAAAUGUUACUGCACCCAGUACAGACAUACAGAUAGCCAGCCAUCACAAAUUUUAGAUACACAUCCAUUUUGUUGAGGAUUAUUCAUCUCAAUGUUCUGUCAGCCAAAGGUUUCAAUUAGUCUUAUCUUUUGAUUACAAUCAUUAGAAGAAUUAACAAAAGUCCCCCAUGUCUAUAAUUAACAUUUGCAUGGAAACUAAGUUUUGAACUGAUAUUCUAACAUGAGCCAAGAAAAGAAUUAGACAAUGAAUUUUAAUGGAAAAGGAAAUGCAUUGAAAUGCCAGUAAAAUUUAUUAAAUAGGCAGGAUCAGCUCAGGAAAAGUAUCAUAGACCAGAAAACUAGAGAGAGCACCAAGAACUUACUAAAAAAAUAACUUUAUUACAGGAAAAUAAAAACCAAUCAAAAGGAUCUACUAACCAUUGAGUUUGGUGAGAAUCUGGUCCAAGCUUCGGAUGCCUUGUCGUAAGCUGUAGCUAAGAACAUUGCUGGAUUUACGCUUUGCACAUUUUCUUCAUAAGUUUUUCUACUUGACAUAAAGUUGUCCUGAAGUUGAGAACUGCUAUUAGUAGCAACCAAGAAAAUAUAAACUCAAGAAAACAAAGAGAUCAACAAGGUUCUUAAUUAAAGCUCAACUCAAGAACUUACGCUUAUCUCUUUCUCAUCAUUUGGAGUCAAAUCAUUAUUUAUGUCAACAACUAAUGCAGAAAAGGUCCAGUCAUAAUCCGCUAAUAAUCGCAGGAACCUGUUGAUGAAAUUACCAUGCAUAUGAGAGAACAGUUUUAGCUGAAUAAGACAGCACCAUUGUAAAGUUUUGCAAUAAUUAUUGUGCGUGCUACACCGCAUUAUUUCUAAUUGCCAGUCAAGUUGGAAUUAUUUGACUUAGAUGCUCCUAAGCAAAAAAAAGAAAGCAAGCAAUUUAGUAAUUCUAUCUUUUUAGGCAAAAGUGUCAUUGAGAACUAUAUAAAUGCCCUGCAAAUAGGAUAUAUAAAUGUCAACCUUAAAAAUCCAGUGAUCCGUGAGGAAGGAGCAUUAAAUGGUAAAGGCUUCAAAAAAAUGUAUGCAACCAAUAGCUCAAUUGCCUCCUCCACCAAGCAAGCAGAAAACAGAUGCGAUGCAACCCACCGUUUUGCAAGCCUUCACAUGAAACGAAAAAAGUUAUAUGCAGUAAAAGAUCACAAAUAAGAGAUAAAAAAAUGUAAAUGCUAAAACUCACCUAACAACUGGCCCAUAUGCUGCGUAACAACCCUGUAAUCCAUUAAUCAUGCUGGAAUGUUGACUGCGAAAAUAAAGUUCCCUGUCCAUAUUAGAAACCUGCUUCACUUGAUCAUUUCCAGCUGCAGUCAGAAAGAAGUUGAAGGGGUCAGCAUUAAUAGAAUCUGACAUCCUUUCUUAUUAAAAGGGGAAAAAGAAUCUAACAUCCCGACAGUGAAAAUGUAAUCAUACGUGAGUCUUAGUUCUUACUUUCCCGUCUCAACAAAGUCAGGCCUCUCUCAUGCCAAAUUUUAAGGCGAAAGGCAUAUCCAGAGACAAAAACAUCCACAUCAUCCUCAGUAGCUGUACAUGUCAUCCCCCAAUUAUUCUGGAGACUGCCAUAGUAGUAUCAUCAGAUAUUUCUUUCAAAAGACAGUAUAGCUAGUAUUGAAAUUUUGUAAUCCCAGUCUGCCCACCUCUCUCCAAUCUUGAGAAGGAAUGCAGAUUUAGUUUUCUCAAUCGCAACAUCAUCCAUUGGCCAGUUUCCAGAACCUUCCAACUAAUUAGAUCAAGUAAUGAGGCUUUGUUAACUGACUGGUAAUAUUAAUUUAAAAAAUCAUGAAUAGUCGAAGGAUAUAGUGGCGUGCCUGGAUCAUAACUUCCAGCGGACGAAUGCAGGAAGGAGGGAGACUACGUAGUCUUAGAAAAGUACCCUUUUCAUUAGCAAGGGGAUGAGGUUCAGGUGGGAAGACAGAUGAAAACCUGAAAGCUGUAUAUAAAUAUAUAGAUGUCAUGAUAAGCGUGCAUUGCUUGACCUUGAGCAAAAGAGGUUGAAGGAAGAGACAUAUAAAAAGCAUACCUUUAUAUACAAAUUAUCUUAUCAAUUUUUUUUUUCUGGAUAUAAUUAUACUAUCAUUUCAAAAUCAUAUAACUAAUGAAUUUUUACAAGCUAUAUGACUGUUAUUAUAUUUUCGAGCAAUGAAUAAAAUUUGCCAAUCUCUUUUAUCAACAAAAGGUAUACACACAUGCUGAGGAAAAACCCAAGUGGGCCAAAGUGACUGUACAGAUCUUCAAUACUGAAAAAAGGUUUCAAAUUACCCCAAAUUUUAGAGCAUCAUGUGUGUGUGCGUGCACAUGUGUACAUGUGUAGAAAACUUUAAUCUAAAACUUUUGAUGAGUUAUACAGAAGAAAAAGGAAAUAUAAUGAGGAUAUUUCCACCAACCUUUGAAAUUACAAUUCUUGAACGAAAGGGUCAAUGCUAACGAACACAAUGUAUAACAACAAUCAAAUAAUUCCAUAUCCCGAACACAGAGAGAAUACAAGCCAUAAUCAAAUAUUUGGAAUAGACAAUUCAAGCUCGGCGUUUAAAUUUUUUUUUUUUUUUCCAGCUAGGAAAUUAUACCUGAAUCUAGGGGCUGCACAGUAGAAACCUUCAAAGGAAUGUCUUCAAUAAGACGCAGUUGUUUUGAUAGAAUUUCAAAUGCCCCAAGCAAACUCCCAGAAGAUGAUAUAGGAUCUGCGGGAGUUAAGAUGUUUUCAUAAAGCAAUAAAUGAAACAAAGAACAAGAGAACUAUAUAGAAAUUGCACAAAAAUUAACGAUAACAAAUGGCUCUAGUUUACCUUCAGUGCCAUAUAGCAACGAGAAAUCAAGUUGAUCCACUAUGUGCAUUAUAUUCUCUUUUGAUACAGAAAGAUGUCGCAGAAGCACAUACUCAGAAAUCCUCUUUAAAAUGAUAUGUCUUUUCCAUUGAUCACUUUCCCAAACUAAGGCAUUGUGCAAACAGUGUCAUCAUUUUAAAUCAUGUAAAUCAUAAUGAUACAACUAAGGUCAAAUAAGUUUUUUUUUUAAAAAAAAAAAUUGCCCAAAAUAAAUGCCUAACCUGUGCUUUCUGCAAUUUUACCAUCUUUAAAUCUCCUGAGCUCCGCCUUCUCCCCCCAGAACUUGCGGAAUUUGAGAGCCUAGAGAGAAUGAGUAAAAUCAAUACAUGCACCAAAAGAAAUAAUUGACUUAUAAUUCCAAACAUACACUCAAAAUACCUCCUCUUUAUUAUCAGCAUCUGGACCAAUAUUAACAAUCCUAAAAGCUUUAUCUAAAGAGCUCACUGAAAUUCCAAUAAGCAAUGGCUCUGCAUUGAGUGUUGACAAUCCCUGGAGACACAUACCAAUAUAAACAAAUUGAUCUGGUACAAAAACACAUCUUUGACGUGAGGUGCUAAAGUUAAAUACUUGAUACCGUACAUCUUUUAUGCUGCAUUCAGAUAACAUGUUUCUCCAAGUGACACGUACAGUCUUCACUCUGUCACUCAACCCUUGAAUUAAAACAUUAUGCACCUUCUGCUCAUACAAUCUCCAGCAUUCAUCAUCCAAGAAAAAUCCUGACGCAUAAACUUUACUGUUCCCCUUUAAGUUCAACCUAAAAGAGCAACCAUGCACACAAAAAGAAAAAAUCAAACCACAAGCAGGCAAGGACAGUAGGGAUAAUGCAGUCUCAAAUCAAAAGUUAACACAAGGUCAUUGUACACAAUAAAGACAACUUCAAUAAGAAAUAGAUUUGAAAAAAUUAUACCUUAUGAUGUGAUCAUAUUUUGCAGGAUAGUCAACCCUAGUCACAAAAAUUUCUUCAAAUCCACAAUCUCUACCUUUCUUUAUGCAUUCAAGUGUCAAAGCAGACUCAUCUUGGAGCUGAAAUGCAGAGAAAUACAUUAGUUUGUAAAGAGGUCAAUCGAGUGUGUACUAUAUAUCAUUACUAUGGAGCAAAAUUUAACUGUUAAUCAGUAGUACCUCGAGGAAUCCAACCCCUGUCAUCCGGAAGGCCAAAUUAAAGUUUGUAGAUGGACUACAUAUAACAACUGGAAAUGAUUCUUUAAGAGGCAACCUUUUCUGCAAUCCCAAAGAUCAUAGUUAACUAACAUCGGUAUAAUACAAUAUAGGGGAGAGCAUUUUGUACAAGUUUCAAAAUAGACACAGAAGUAAUUAGCAAGAAAUGAAGGAUACUCGUAAAGAGACUAUUCCAAAGCUUCAGUCCAAAAAACAAAAGCAAGUUUUUCAAAUUAUUUCAACUGAUAAGAGACAUCAACAGACUUCUGAAUGAGCACAUAGUUCUUUUAAGUCGCAAGGCUGACAAUAUAAUAAAGGAUAGUGUGCUAAGAGUGAAGUUCAUAUGUAUGUCUUUUGAUCUUACUUCCCAACUUCUCUGUUUCUUAGUUAUAGUUUCUCUCUAGGAAUCAUUUGGGGAAAACAGAUACAGACAUAAAACAAGAAACCAAAAAUGACGAGUACAUCACAUGUCUAUUUUGUGGAACAAAAACAACAAAAAACUUGUGAAGAUCAUAAUUGAAGAUAUUAAGAUCCAGUAACAGCAGACCUCCUUUGGAAUAGCAUUUUGGCCUUUCGGCAUAAAGUAGAGCCCAUGUUUCCAAAGCUCUGAAGUGGCUGCACAGGAAAUAACAAUAUUAAGUAUAAUAGUCAUCACAGUUCUCUAUUAAAGCCUUGAAAAACCAACUUUGAGUUAGAAAAUAGCCAAGACAAUCUAGUUUCUGUAGUGCACAACAGUUCCUUGUUUUGCGAAAACAAAAUACAAAAAAAGUCCUGUAAAAUAAGCAUACCAAUGAAGUUCAGUGUUACACGGAGUAUAUGCAUUGCCUUCAUUGAUUUCUUAAUACGAUCUCUAUCCGCAAGAUAUGACAAUAUGACAGAGAUUAAAAAUCCAUUCAAGCAAUCAUAAGCAUAUAUUGGUGUCCUCUGACGAGCCCAGACCUACAUCAAUAAGAAUACCCUUGUCAGAGAUAUUGCAUUAAGAUUUUUAAAGUGACAAGCGAGCGCUUGGUUUAUACCUUCAGCAACAUUAAGGCCUCUUGUAAUUCCUUCCAACCCAGAAAAGUUUUCUUGAGAAAUUCUUCCAUAUCUUCAAUAAACAUGUCUUCCAAAAUACUACUAUUGUACUUAGGAGUCGCCUGAGGAAUGCCGCCUUCAAAAAAGAGUUAAAUAUAUUAUAAGCAUUUAACUUGAAAACAUCAUCAAAUGGCACAAACACGAUAACAUACUUUACCUUGAUUUAGAGCACGAACAUUAUUGCGAUUCAAGUGCAAUUUCGGAAUGCUAAAAAGAGAUGGUGCUGUAGGAAUUAUCCUUAUACAAAACUCAGGGACUUCAACAAGCUUCAUGCCUGUGAUACCGAUUUAUUUGUAAUUCAAAAGUUGCAUUUAUCAGGCACCAAAGAAACAAAAAUAUUCAGCAUUUUAAGUUGAUGAAAAGAGAAAAUAAUAAUCAAAAGGUGCCACAGGAAAACAAACCUGGAUAGACAAUCAAUACAGGUUUCCGGACUUCAUUCUGUAAGGUGGACCAUUCAACCUUCUGAAUUAAUGAAGAAGACAUCAAAAACUUUUUAAUUACACAAAGGUACAGGCACCUUUUCGCAUGGUACCGGUAAUUCAAAUAGUCUUUCUCAUGGAAACACUCCUGCAAAAGAGAAAAUUAUUUAGAUUCAUGAACUUCCCAAAUGAGUAAAUACAACCUCUCGUAAAUCCUGAUCGCCUAAUCUUCUUACCAAAAACUACUCUAACGAUAAUAAAUAAUUAAGAAUUAACACACUUAUUUUGAUUAUCAAAACAAAAAACAUGUUACAAUCAUGAAGUUUGGCGUUCAAAUACCUUUGGCAACCUGACCAAAAGGUCCACAUUAACCUCAGGUUUUACACUGCACUGUAGGGCAUAACUCCCACCAACUGCAAUUGAUUUCGGCUUCUUAAACUCGAACUCAACCUUGUCUGCACCAAUGUCUCUGACGAAUCCGGGAGCUUCAUCAGCUGUAACCUGCCCGAAUUUUGAACCAAGGAUGGCCAGUGAGUUCAAUGUAAAUGGUGAAAUACAAAUUCAUUAGAUGAAUAAGAGUAGAAGUCCAAUUCUUGAAAAAAAAUGCAUCCCUAUAAGAUAGCUUUUCAAAUUCAAAGAAUAAACACCACAUAAUCCAGCUCAAAAUGCUACAAUUUCUCGGCACCCAUCAGAAGUUAGGAAUUCGGUUUCAGGAGGGAGUGUGGAAAGGAAACUAACCUUGAGGUUUUCUGGGAUUUUAUCGAUGGCUCCUUUGAUGGCUGAAACGGCGUCGUCUACUUCCUUAGUGAAUGCAGGUGAAUAGUCUAGCUGGACCUCUUUCAAGAGCUCCGUCACCUUCAGGUCCACUGAGUUCGUGUCUGCAACUGAUUCCAUUGUUCUUCUUUUGGCUUUGGUUUUGCUUUCGGAGCUAAAACCGAACGUGUAGUUGGAAACUGGUAAAGCUUCUGGAAUUUAGGGUUUAGGGUUUAACGGAAGAGGUGGCGGGAGAUGCUGGCCCUAACUUAUUUAUGGGCUGAGCACCAUUCAAAAAGCCCAUAUAAGCACAGUCCAAUUUUCAGUUGGGCUUCAUUAAACUUGUAACAAACACAAUUUGCUUGCAACCAUAUUUUAUAGGCCCACUCAUUUUGGUUGGGCCUUUAAAGCCCAGAAACCUUAUUGGACGGUACUAGAAUAGCCCACACAUUGUUACUAGUCGACGUGUUUUAACAUGGAUGGACAACGAACAUAUAUUUUAAAUUAUGAUACUAUAAAAUAUGUGCUUGUAUCAUAUGGGUGAAGCACUACAUAGUUAUAAAGAAAAAAGUAUACACACAUAGUGUUAACAAUUACCUAAAGGUUCGAAUUUAUGACAUUUUUCAAUAUUGGUAACUUCAACGACAUGUUACGUGUCCGUAAAUAUUUCUUUAAACUUGGACGAAUUGAAAAAGGGGGGUUGGAAUAAAAUUUUAUGCAUUUGAUUCCCUUUGAAGUUGUAAAGAAGAUUCAGCAGUCAAGAUCUGGAUCGCAAUGAGGGAUCAUAGAUCUUCCUUAGCAGAAAAACAAAAAGCGCGACAGUUCCCAGAUCAGGAAGUUUAUACAUAUUCCUUAAAAGAUAAAUGUGUUGGUUGGUCUUGUUGUUCUCUGCAAAAGGUUCAAAAGAGAUUCAAAGUGUGGAGGAGAAAGAUGUUGUAGAAGAGGGAGAAGAAAGGAAAAGCCUGGCGUUGGGGUAUAUAUCAUGAAGACUAGAUCUGAGCCAACAACGUACGCUAUCCCCUUAGUUUUGGCACUUUUCCACAUUCUGCAUGUCGGUCGGUUCAUCAAUUUAGGUACUUCAUGUUGCCUUAUGUAGCAAAUCAACAUUCGAUUGGCUCAAAAGUUGGUUAAGAAUUCCACUCUCCACAUUAAAUCAAAAGAAUUGGUGUGUUUUGUUGUUGGUCAGUCUCAAUUUGUAUCACAUAUUCAAAUAAAAAUAACGCGUAAGAUAAACAUAUUAUGUUGUAAUACUGUCAAUUUAAAAACGUUUAUGAUAUGAAAUUAUUGUUAAAAUGGAACAUAUAAUACAUUUAGAAGAAAUUAAAAAUAAAAAUAAUGAAAAAAGAGAGGAAAGAAAUCCUAGUAUAUUUGAGCUUUAUUUAGACCUCCUUGGAGGAGACAAUUAGAGGUUUACAGUGUUCCCCGUAGAUAUGAGUAGAUGUCAUGAUACUGACAAGGAUUUAGCUUUCAUUUCAUAGGACGGCUUGUUAGGGGGGUUUUCUUCCCUCUCUCACUCUCUCACCUCACCCCCCCUCCUUUUCUAAAUGCUGGUCCACUUAUUACUUCCCUUCCCAAUUUUUGCUUUUUUCUUCUUUUUGUUUUUAUUUUUAUUUUCUCUCAACACCCGCUGGAAUAUUAUUACUUUAUUGAAUUUAUUCUUACCUGGCAGCCAACAAAGAUCCUCUGGUCAACUACAAAUUGACCAGCCUCCUAGACCAAUCCCAAACCCAACCCAAUCCAACCCACCUUAGCUAAAAAGUUAAAAACCAAAUUAAAUAAAUCAAAAACCCUAGAGAGAGAGAGAGAAGGGAAGAGGGACAGACAUUCCAGUUGUAUCUUGGUGCUUUUGAGGAUGUGUAUUUUUAUGGGUUCCAAAGCUCAUAAUUGAUAAUUUUUAUUAUUAUUUGCAACUUAUAAUAAAAACCACACCCAUUUGCAUGCAUGCAUGCAAAGUAAAUCCCUCUGGGGCUUCCACGUGGCACUCCCAUUAGUGAUAGUGAUGAUUAUUUAUUAAUUAUUUUUAGGCAGAUACGAUAUUUUUCUGGUCGUCGUCGUCAUUGGGUUACCUUGGAAAAGUGGGAAGAAAAGAAAAAAAAAAACUUACCAAGGCCCAAUUAAGAGCGGGCCCCACCAAAUCCAACGAGCCACAAAACAUCAUGAUUAAUAUAGGAGAGAGCAUAUGCGACGAUGACUACUACUACUACUACUUGCGUUGCGUGCAUGAGAGGCGGUGAACAAACACUAAUUAGAUUCUUUCGGGGUUGGAUGAUUAAGCAAAUCCCAGAGUAACAUUAAAUACAUUAUAAGUAGAUCCGCAUUAAUUACUCGAAUUUACUUGGGCAAACCCAACCACCACAUUUGAUAGAGCGUGUAAUUUACACAAGAGAAGACUAAAUAUUCAUUGUAUUUAGGUCUAAACAGUCAUAACGUCAUGUGAUGUUAUUAAUUAAAUCUAUCAACAUGGGAAUUCAAAUUUGAACCUAAAGAGACGGAUUCGUUGGUCUGACCAACUAAUCUAACUCAUAUAUACAUACAUGUUUAAUAAUAUUGUAUCAACAUGUCGCUUAAUUUAUAAUUUAUGUAGAAUUGUAACAACGCCACCUCGACAUGCCACGUAAUGAUGACUGACACACACAUUAGUUUAUGAUUAAACAGAAGACUACUAUUGCAGGUCACACGUUGAAAGAGGUCGCGUGGGGAUGAGAGAAAUGCAUGUGUUAUGUGUAAUAGCAAAAAAUGCAACACUUAGUGAGUGUUGUCUUGGGCUAAUCGUAGUUUGCUUGGUUGCUUGUUUGAUUGUUUGCUUUGUUCUCUCUCAUUAAUUAACAGAGCGAAUGGGUAGAUAGAGAGAGCGAGAGCAUCUUUUGGAAAGCGGUAGUCGUCCCGUUUGUCCAACUGUGGCCUCACCAAUCUCUAGACGAUCUGAUUCUCUCUGCGUCUUUGGUUGUGUUUUGAAUCUUUGAUCAAAACAUGGGGUCGGGCUUCCAGAGAGGUUUGUUUGUUGGGGCUUGCUUGCCUGCCCGCCCAUCAUAAUAUUGUGGGGGCCACACCCUUUUUUUUCUUCCCAAAUUUUUUUAUAUUUUUAUAUUUUGAAAAAAUUUUGAUUUGUUGAUUUUACUAGCAAGUACCCUUUUGAUCUUUUUUGAGUUUCCAUCUUUGACGGUUUGACCCAACAGAAAAUAAAAAAGAAAAACACCCAAAACUUCCAAAGUGUUGUGUUGCUUUGAUGAUUGCGUUGUGUCAUAUUUGUGCAACUUUAUCACUCUCUCCCUGUCUCUCUCUUUCGCUUUUCUGUCUGAUCAAAAUCUCCAAAUCUUCUACUAUUACUACUACUAGUCUUCCUACUCUCAUACAAUAUCUCAAAAGUGAGCUACCUUGUUGAGUUGUGAUGGGUAUUUUGAGGAUUUUCUCAAACCUAAUUGAGAGCCUUGAGGGUUUUAUGAUGACCAUUUUGGCUUCUUUUUUCCUUUGUUUACUACUUCACGUGAUUCCACUGGGUACGGCCACUGCAAAUUAUACUACUAGUAGUAGAAGUACUUUGCUAGGGCUCAAAAACUGGCUCCUCUUGUGCUAAAAUGGACUAUUAGGGCAUGGGUCGAUUUUGAUGGAUGGAUUUGACACCCUAUAAUAACCAAACAGAGUUUUAGAAUUAGAGAAUGCACAGGUGUAGUGAUGAAUUUGUAGAUAUAUAGCAUUGGUGAAAGAUUAAGAUUCACUAGUGAAAUGAUUGGCACAUAUGUACUUUUCUUUUUUUACUCGAAGAAUAUUAUAGUAAGUCAUCUAACUACGUUCGACUAGAUAUAACAAUAAAUUUUAACUCGCGCGUAAAUGAGCGACUGAUACCAUAACCCUUACUUUUCUUCUUUAAAACUAAUUAAGUGACUCACCUAAUUUUAAUUUUGUGGGUACAUACAUAUAUACCUUGUCCAGAGCUCCGAAAAAGAGCGUGACAGGGUGACAAAGACUAACAAGGGCUUUGAAUAUCUGAAUAUACUUGUGGCAGAGAUAGAGAGAGGGAUAGAGAGGAGAGAGAAGAGAGGAGAGAGGAGAGGGAGAGAUAGAGGGGUAAAAUGGUAAUUAUAAAAAACGUGAAUGUGGUGUGUGGGAGUGCGAAUGGGACUGGGGAGAGAGAGAGAGAGAGAGAGACUAUUCCAUUUUCCUUGGGAGGGUGGCAGUGACAGAAGAGAGGAGCAGAGAUACGGAUACGGACAGAGGUUUUUGAUGGUAUUGGGUUUGAGACCAGACCACCAGACUCAUUAGGGGCCUCGUGAUCGGAGAAGGCAGAUCUAUAGAAGACUGUUCCCGCUAGUCACGUGGGCUCUUUUGACUACCCCAAUCUCUCUCACCAUUACCAAAACCAAACCCCUUCCUUUCCCCCCACU